CGAGUGAUGGAAAACGAAAGGUGGGGCAAUGGCAGGUUGCAGGCAACGCACAGAGGUGGGCUAUCACGUCACCUCAGCGAAUGAUCUUCACUCGUAUCAUCUCACCUCUUUACCCUUUCUUCUUGUCCUCUCCUUUCCCCUCCUUUUCUGUUCAUCCAAAUUCCUCAUUCCUGUUCCUCAAUCUCACAUAAUUAAAUGAAACCCUCCAAAACCAAAAAUUACCAUUUUUACAUCGUUCCAGGAAGCUCUGCAAAAUUCUGUGCUUCUAGACUCUCGAAUAAGAAUCUGCCUUCUGCAUCACAAGUUGGAGAUUCCUGCCCGCUAUGCUUUUCACAGCUACAACUGGGUUGCGAUGAAGCUCCAACAGAAGAAGUUCAGGGAUCAGAAAAGCUGGAAGGUGGCGAGCAGAAAAUCUAAAAAUAUGAAGCAAAAUUGCGGGAAAUGGAACUCUAACAAGAAUUUUGCUUCAUACAAACCUCAAUAUUGUAGAAUUUUGAAACUUGCUGAAUGAAAAUUGAACAAAAACAGAGCAUAAAGAAAUCUGAAUAAAUUGAAAUUCU